rnacentral:rRNA from 1 species
UAGGGAAUCUUCGGCAAUGGACGGAAGUCUGACCGAGCAACGCCGCGUGAGUGAAGAAGGUUUUCGGAUCGUAAAGCUCUGUUGUAAGAGAAGAACGAGUGUGAGAGUGGAAAGUUCACACUGUGACGGUAUCUUACCAGAAAGGGACGGCUAACUACGUGCCAGCAGCCGCGGUAAUACAUAGGUCCCGAGCGUUGUCCGGAUUUAUUGGGCGUAAAGCGAGCGCAGGCGGUUAGAUAAGUCUGAAGUUAAAGGCUGUGGCUUAACCAUAGUAGGCUUUGGAAACUGUUUAACUUGAGUGCAAGAGGGGAGAGUGGAAUUCCAUGUGUAGCGGUGAAAUGCGUAGAUAUAUGGAGGAACACCGGUGGCGAAAGCGGCUCUCUGGCUUGUAACUGACGCUGAGGCUCGAAAGCGUGGGGAGCAAACAGGAUUAGAUACCCUGGUAGUCCACGCUGUAAACGAUGAGUGCUAGGUGUUAGACCCUUUCCGGGGUUUAGUGNGCGUAGCUAACGCAUUAAGCACUCCGCCUGGGGAGUACGACAAGCAAGGUUG